rnacentral:rRNA from 1 species
CCUACGGGUGGCUGCAGUGGGGAAUAUUGCACAAUGGGCGCAAGCCUGAUGCAGCCAUGCCGCGUGUGUGAAGAAGGCCUUCGGGUUGUAAAGCACUUUCAGCGGGGAGGAAGGCGUUAAGGUUAAUAACCUUGUCGAUUGACGUUACCCGCAGAAGAAGCACCGGCUAACUCCGUGCCAGCAGCCGCGGUAAUACGGAGGGUGCAAGCGUUAAUCGGAAUUACUGGGCGGAAAGCGCACGCAGGCGGUCUGUCAAGUCGGAUGUGAAAUCCCCGGGCUCAACCUGGGAACUGCAUUCGAAACUGGCAGGCUAGAGUCUUGUAGAGGGGGGCAGAAUUCCAGGUGUAGCGGUGAAAUGCGUAGAGAUCUGGAGGAAUACCGGUGGCGAAGGCGGCCCCCUGGACAAAGACUGACGCUCAGGUGCGAAAGCGUGGGGAGCAAACAGGAUUAGAUACCCGUGUAGUC